GGGUAGAGGCCCACCUAGCCGACGAUGGGUAGCCGGACUGAGAGGUCGACCGGCCACAUUGGGACUGAGAUACGGCCCAGACUCCUACGGGAGGCAGCAGUGGGGAAUUUUGCGCAAUGGGGGAAACCCUGACGCAGCAACGCCGCGUGCGGGACGAAGGCCCUCGGGCUGUAAACCGCUUUCAGCAGGGAAGACAUCGACGGUACCUGCAGAAGAAGCUCCGGCUAACUACGUGCCAGCAGCCGCGGUAAUACGUAGGGGGCGAGCGUUAUCCGGAUUCAUUGGGCGUAAAGCGCGCGUAGGCGGCCGCCUAAGCGGAACCUCUAACCCCGGGGCUCAACCUCGGGCCGGGUUCCGGACUGGGCGGCUCGAGUGCGGUAGAGGAGAGCGGAAUUCCCGGUGUAGCGGUGGAAUGCGCAGAUAUCGGGAAGAACACCGAUGGCGAAGGCAGCUCUCUGGGCCGUCACUGACGCUGAGGCGCGAAAGCUGGGGGAGCGAACAGGAUUAGAUACCCUGGUAGUCCCAGCCGUAAACGAUGGACGCUAGGUGU
rnacentral:rRNA from 1 species